UUAACUCAUGGGUAUAUCAUCAACCUGAACUAGAAAGAUGCCUGAUCACUAAAACAUCUCACAAUUUCAAUCCUUCCACUCAGAGGUAGGUACUCAAACAAGAGAAUUGCUAGGUCCAUUGUCCAGGCCUGGUCCUCACGAGGAGAUGAAUACCCUAGAACCUGGCUUAGGACAGUCACAAUGGGCCUCGGAACCUUCUUCCUCUCCAUCUCCUCUGCAUAUUGGCCUUUUGCUUAUUCCAGUUUUGCUCUCCAGCCCUUCCCUGAUUCCCAAGUCUGGUUCUUUAAGUUAACUGAGAAUGUGUUCUGUUACAAAUUCAGAAGUCUCUCCCCUAGUCCUUCUGGCCUGUUUGCCUGCUCUGCCUUUCUCCUUUUCUCUUCUGUUGGGACCUGGAGAUCUUCUGACAGAGGCCUGUGAGCUGAGCAGCUCCAGCAGUUGGAUCUCCAUGAAUUACCAAGGGAUGUAAAGACUUAGAAGAGAGUUACAAGAGGAAAUGUAAAACCAUCCAUUUUUACCAAAAUUAAAUGUGCAAAAGGCUACAUAUUGGAGGGAUGAGGACAGGAAAGAAUAAGAGGUAAAUAGCAAAUGGGAAAAUGAGAAAGGAAAACAAGUGUUUAACAAACACUACUUAAAAUUCUCCUCAAGACAAAGCCUGAAGCACAGUCAGCCUCGGCCCAAAGCACCUGCGUGGUCCAUUUUCCACCCUUAAAGCCCCUGAUAUUCCCCUGGAUGCUUAAUUCUCUGAGGAAAAAACCCUAGUCUAAAUCCAUUUGAUCCUGAAAACACAAAGGUCCAUAUCCGAAGCACCCCAGUCCUUCAGUGUAACCUUUCUUACCUUCCUAGUUCUCUCUCCUUUCCUCAGUUGAAUAACCUGCAUUUUAAAAAUAACUGAAUUAUCCAUGCAUUGUUUUACCACAUUACUUCAAUGGCCUCUUCUGAUUACAGCGCCAACCUUCUGGCCUCCACUUCCUACAAAAUCUGUCUCUUCCUGUCUGUCUUUUCUCCCCACCACCCCCCGAUCUUAUCUAUUCCCUUUCCUGUCACCUCUUCAAGGAUUAACAGGGUGAAAACACUCAUUCCAUCAGCAGUCACUGAUGCUCAGGUGUGGCACAGGAGAAUUUCUAACAUGGCCUGGAAGCAAUCUAAUAGGAAGGGCGAGGAAGGGGAGUGGAUGGAGAAGCCAGAUGUCUUGCCCAAGAAAUAUCUGUAUUUCAGGGUGGUGUGUAGAGGAAACUACCAGCUUGCUCCCAGUGCCCUGCUGAUGCAAAGCAGCAUAAAUCUGCCUCUUCCCCUCUUACAUAUUAUUCCAGGCACUCCAGCAUUCACAUACUCAUGUUCACUGACAACUGCCCCUCUUGGAAGCACUCCACCAGGGAGCUCAUCAGAUAGCAGUCAUUUAGCAAGGCCCCCAGUGCCUGAACCACUUUUUUUGCCAGCAUAUUCACCCAUUCACUCUGCCAACACAUGGCAAAAGAGGUGCCACCAAGGACUCUUCUGUUUAUAACACCUACUGAUCACACUCUGAGGUUAAGUCAGCUCUGGCACUGUGAAGCAUACAUGUGCAGAAAGGUGAAUGAAGCUACAGCAAAGAAUCCGUGAUCUCUACAGUAGCCUGGCAGGCUGAUUUUCUAUCACCUAAAAUUAAUUAUAUGGCAUAACAUGCAGAGACAUCCACAGAACAAGGGAGACAGGUUGGAUCAGGGCUAAGAAGUACCUGAAUGAGAGUGAUGGAGCCCAGAAGCAGCUUUACCAUGAUUACUUACACAGAGGAGAGGUUGGGCUAGAAUAUUUUCCAGUUGGAGAAAAUUUGAAAGUGGUUCAAUCAGUGAAAUGUAACCACACAUACAAUCAUCAUGGUGAAAAUCCCUGAGAUGUUUUUCAGCUCCCUCUAGCCAGAAUAUGAACAAUACCUAAUGAUUGUGCAGUGCUUAUAGCUCAACGAAGCACUCUCAUGUAUCUCAUUUCAGUCAUUACAUCAUCCAUUAUUUUAUGGACAAAGCAGCUUUGGCUCAGAGAGGUUCAGUGAUCUGCCCAAGGUCAUGCAGCUGGCAAGAGGCAGAGACAAACGGAAGCCCCAGGUGUCAGACAAAGGUCUUGUGACUGCACGCCUCAGAUUGAUGCCACCAUGGUCCACAGUGCUCAGAGAAACAAGGACAGGAACAAGAAAGGCCCAAAGAACCGAGAACAAUGUGUGUACUAAAGCCAUCCAACAGCAUCAAUUGACUAUAAAAAUUCAGCUUCUUUAGUGACUCAUAACCAGGUCAAAGCUUUGAUUUUAUUGAACGGUCCAGUAAGCUCAUUCAAUGGACAUAAAAAAAUCUCCAUAAUAGAAAAUACGCAUAUGCAUGUAUAUUUAUCCCAUAUAGAAACCAUGGGAUAUUUUUAUACUUGAAUCUUUUGGAAUAAAAUGUAAUAUUUCUCCCCA